AGUGAACGCUGGCGGCAUGCCUAACACAUGCAAGUCGAGCGGCAGCACAGUAAGAUCUUUCUCUUACGGGUGGCGAGUGGCGGGCGGGUGACGCAUACAUCGGAUUCUUCUUUUUCGUGGGUGAUAACGUAGGGAAACAUACGCUAAUACCUCAUAUGUUGUACGGGUGAGAGCAGUAGUUCUACGCGCCUUUCGCGUUUGUAUUAGCCGAUGCCGGAUUAGCUAGUUGGCUGGGUAAAGUCCCACCAAGGCGACGAUCCGUAGCUGGUCUGAGAGGAUGAUCAGCCACACUGGAACUGAGACACGGUCCAGACUCCUACGGGAGGCAGCAGUAGGGAAUCUUGCGCAAUGGGCGAAAGCCUGAUGGAGCAAUACCGCGUGAGUGAAGAAGGUCUUCGGAUUGUAAAGCCCUUUUGUUAGGAAAGAACAAAAGCAGAUUUAACCAUGGCUGUCCUGACGGUACCCAAAGAAUAAGCCCCGGCUAACUUCGUG
rnacentral:rRNA from 1 species